rnacentral:rRNA from 1 species
UACGUAGGGGGCAAGCGUUGUCCGGAUUUAUUGGGCGUAAAGAGCGUGUAGGCGGUUUGGUAGGUCCGCUGUGAAAACAUCGAGCUCAACUUCGAGACGCCGGUGGAAACCAUCAGACUAGAGUCCGGAAGAGGAGAGUGGAAUUCCUGGUGUAGCGGUGAAAUGCGCAGAUAUCAGGAAGAACACCCGUGGCUAAGGCGGCUCUCUAGUACGGUACUGACGCUGAGACGCGAAAGCGUGGGGAGCGAACAGG